GAUGAACGCUGACGGUGUGCCUAAUACAUGCAAGUCGAGCGAACAGACGAGGAGCUUGCUCCUCUGACGUUAGCGGCGGACGGGUGAGUAACACGUGGAUAACCUACCUAUAAGACUGGGAUAACUUCGGGAAACCGGAGCUAAUACCGGAUAAUAUAUUGAACCGCAUGGUUCAAUAGUGAAAGACGGUUUUGCUGUCACUUAUAGAUGGAUCCGCGCCGCAUUAGCUAGUUGGUAAGGUAACGGCUUACCAAGGCAACGAUGCGUAGCCGACCUGAGAGGGUGAUCGGCCACACUGGAACUGAGACACGGUCCAGACUCCUACGGGAGGCAGCAGUAGGGAAUCUUCCGCAAUGGGCGAAAGCCUGACGGAGCAACGCCGCGUGAGUGAUGAAGGUCUUCGGAUCGUAAAACUCUGUUAUUAGGGAAGAACAAAUGUGUAAGUAACUAUGCACGUCUUGACGGUACCUAAUCAGAAAGCCACGGCUAACUACGUG
rnacentral:rRNA from 1 species